UACGUAGGGGGCAAGCGUUGUCCGGAAUCAUUGGGCGUAAAGCGCGUGUAGGCGGCUCGAUAAGUCUGCUGUGAAAGUCCAGGGCUCAACCCUGGGAUGCCGGUGGAUACUGUCGAGCUCGAGUCCGGAAGAGGCGAGUGGAAUUCCUGGUGUAGCGGUGAAAUGCGCAGAUAUCAGGAGGAACACCUAUGGCGAAGGCAGCUCGCUGGGACGUUACUGACGCUGAGACGCGAAAGCGUGGGGAGCAAACAGG
rnacentral:rRNA from 1 species